AAAGGGAGGGAGGGAGAGAGAGAGGGUGGAAGGGAGGAAAGGGAGGGAGGGAGAGAGAGAGGGUGGAAGGGAGAGAGUGGAGGAGGAGAGAGAGAGAGAGAGAGGGAGGCAGGGAGGAAAGGAAGCUGUGGGAGCAAUAUCUGAGGCGCGUAGUCAUUCUCCAUAUUUACCCUAAACCAACACAGUAAUUCCCAUGUACCUGUGUGCGCUGGCGGCCAUAUCCCGGAGACCCUAAGGCACAUGUUGACGGGACUUUGUGAGAAUGUGCGUCCGUAGUCUGCACAGGCCUGGCCUAGAUGUCCUCGUCACAUCGCUCAUGACGGCCGAGAAAAUGUCUGAAAGGGGAGCGUCGGCAAAGAUAAUGUCCUGUUAGUUUACACGCACUCUGCGAUAUUGUUGAAACUGUACAGCGCAGAACGCUGGGAUUGUACGAGUGUGUGCGUCUCCAGUGUGUGCAGGUCUGGCGUUAGAAAAGAAGAACAACAUGUUAUAACCACCACCAUCACCACCAACACCACCACCACCACUAUGGCAACCACCACCCCCACCACCCCUACCACACAGCCGCCACCACCGCCACCACCACCACUCAGCCCACCGUCAUAGAGAGUGGGCGGCCUCACCCUUUCCUGCCCUCGUAUUUGCUGGACAGUGUGGAGGAUGGCUUGGGCAGCAGUGGCAACAGUGAGGUGGCGGCCGGCGGAGGGGGAGAGAGACAGGCGGAGAAGAACGUCAAGGUCCAUUUCAAUUCUUCCUUCAACGUUGUCAAGUACAGGGACAUCAAGACCUCUAACAGACACUGGGGCACCAGACUGACAACUAACCUGAGACUCACCAACCUGGGACAGUGGUACCGACGCUCCCCUGCCCAGCACCGGCAGAUCCACUGGUGCAGUGUUUGU